rnacentral:rRNA from 1 species
UGGGGAAUAUUGGACAAUGGGCGCAAGCCUGAUCCAGCCAUGCCGCGUGAGUGAUGAAGGCCCUAGGGUUGUAAAGCUCUUUCACCGGUGAAGAUAAUGACGGUACCCGGAGAAGAAGCCCCGGCUAACUUCGUGCCAGCAGCCGCGGUAAUACGAAGGGGGCUAGCGUUGUUCGGAUUUACUGGGCGUAAAGCGCACGUAGGCGGACUUUUAAGUCAGGGGUGAAAUCCCGGGGCUCAACCCCGGAACUGCCUUUGAUACUGGAAGUCUUGAGUAUGGUAGAGGUGAGUGGAAUUCCGAGUGUAGAGGUGAAAUUCGUAGAUAUUCGGAGGAACACCAGUGGCGAAGGCGGCUCACUGGACCGUUACUGACGCUGAGGUGCGAAAGCGUGGGGAGCAAACAGG